AUUGAACGCUGGCGGUAUGCUUAACACAUGCAAGUCGAACGGUAGCAGGCCUUCGGGCGCUGACGAGUGGCGGACGGGUGAGUAACGCGUAGGAAUCUGCCUGGUAGUGGGGGACAACUUGGGGAAACUCAAGCUAAUACCGCAUACGCCCUACGGGGGAAAGCGGGGGAUCUUCGGACCUCGCGCUAUCAGAUGAGCCUGCGUUAGAUUAGCUAGUUGGUGGGGUAAAAGCCUACCAAGGCGACGAUCUAUAGCUGGUCUGAGAGGACGAUCAGCCACACUGGGACUGAGACACGGCCCAGACUCCUACGGGAGGCAGCAGUGGGGAAUAUUGGACAAUGGGCGAAAGCCUGAUCCAGCAAUACCGCGUGUGUGAAGAAGGCCUGAGGGUUGUAAAGCACUUUCAAUUGGGAGGAAACCCUACCGGUCAAUACCCGGUAGCUUGACAUUACCUUUAGAAGAAGCACCGGCUAACUCCGUGCCAGCAGCCGCGGUAACAC
rnacentral:rRNA from 1 species